rnacentral:tRNA from 1 species
GCCAUUUUCUAAGGGCAU